UACGAAGGGGGCUAGCGUUGUUCGGAAUUACUGGGCGUAAAGCGUGCGCAGGCGGUUUCUUAAGUCAGAUGUGAAAGCCCCGGGCUUAACCUGGGAACUGCGUUUGAAACUGGGAGACUUGAGUGUGGCAGAGGGGGGUGGAAUUCCACGUGUAGCAGUGAAAUGCGUAGAUAUGUGGAGGAACACCAAUGGCGAAGGCAGCCCCCUGGGUCAACACUGACGCUCAUGCACGAAAGCGUGGGGAGCAAACAGG
rnacentral:rRNA from 1 species